rnacentral:lncRNA from 1 species
CUUACGAAGAUGACCCGUUCGUUUUUGCCACAUCGGUAAAACAAGUGUUUUAUCUUGAUGACCUUACUAAGGGUGACGCGUGGAAAGUAGUCAACCUUGUGCACCCUCGAAACAUUUACCGGGCGGCUACACUUGGAGAGGCCGAAGACCAAGAAGAAGAUGUUGCGUAUCAAGAGCCCAACGCAAUAGGUAUUCCUAACUCCUCUACCGUUCGCCUUAAUAAUUUUAAAGCGGGUCGUUCGGUGCGAAUUCGUGAUGAAGAGCCAAGGCUUAUUGAUGUUGAUACCAAAUACAAGAAACAGACGAAGACUCUGGCGAUGAGGAAAGACAUAUAUUACCAUAAAUUAAUUCUGACACCGAAGAAGACUCAUCAGAUGAUUCUGAUUACGAGCCUUAGUUUUAAUUUAGAGGACGUAAUCCAUUAAUUUGUAUAACUAAAGACAUUUUCCUUUAUAGUUUACAUAUAUUGAAUUCAUAUUUCAGUUAUUUUAUAUGAAUUUUGGUGAUAUAUGAUGAACAGGAAGUUAGUAUGGUUUACUAAUACCUUCUGUUUUUUUUAAUGUAUUUUUUUCCUUUAGCCGACGAAAUACACCAUAAUUCAUUGGCUAAAACCAUCUUAGCCGACGAAUUAUAGUGUAUUUUGUCGGCUAAAACCAUCUUAGCCGACGAAAUAUACUAUAUUUCGUUGGUUAAGAUGGUUUUAGCCGACGAAUAACCUAAUAUUUCGUCGGCUUUAGUUAUUUUUUAAUUUUUUAAUUACAUACUAUAGCCGACGAAUACGUUAGGGUAUUCGUCGGCUAAACCCUAAAAUUUUUCUAUCACAUACUAUAGCCCUAUUUUCGGUGGUUAUUUUCCGUAAAAUCUUUAGACGACUUCUUGCGUCUCAUCGGUUUGAAACUAUUUUCAGUUGGAGGUCCGGCCAAAAUACGUAAUUUAGACGGUCGAACAACCUUUUCCGUGCAUUUAGGGGUUUGACUUACGGGAUUGAGCGUCCGGAUCGAGCUCUUAACCUUGUCGGAUCAAGUUGAAUUUUUUCCCAUACAUAUAUUUUGUCAUGAUGGUCAGAUCUGACGGUCGGAUUUCUGUUUCUCAAGUUUGAUCAUCACAAUCAAAACACGCCUACUAAUGUUGUAUAACUUGUUUACCAAGUGUUAUGUAAAUGUUCCGUUUACAAAAACAAACUAUAACGUAAAACCUU